AGCAGGAGGCUCCAGUGGACAGACUGGAGGUGAAGGAGACGCACUGGAGGCCAGAAGAAGAACUCUGUCUGUGAUUGCAGCCGGUUGUUUGGCCUGGUUCUGGUUCUGGUACCAGCAGCACUACUACUGUGGAGCAACCAGCAGCCAGUGGACAACCUGGAUCUGCUGAGGCUGGAUGACGUCAUCUGACGACACACAGAGACAACCAGUGAUAUGAACAUCUGAUGGCCUUUAUGGUUGUUUUUGCAGCUUACCAGCCACCUCUGCUGUCUACAUGCUGAGCAUCUCGAGCAUCCCGUGAAACAGCUUAUGCAGUUUCCUUUUCUUACACACGGUGAUGUAAGAGCUGCUGGGAAGAAGAAGGUGGACAACAACUCCUGUUUCUGCUGAAAACGCUGACAAGAGAAACCGUACGAUGACCUCAUGACUAAAGACUGAAGGAAAGAAGAGG